UCAAGUUUAAAAGCUGUGGCAGGCCUUCAAUCGAUCAAAGACACAGCUUUGAUAUACAGCGAACAAGCCAAGUUUCUUCGUCAGCCAUGUCUAGGCCAUCACUGAUCCUGGAGUCGGUGGCGAUCUGUAUUGCGUUUGCCAUCUUCGUAACAUCGUGCACUGCGCAAUACGUCUAUGCCAGUUACCCGUACGCGUAUAUAUAUGGCUAUCCAUACGCUAUCCAAGGAAGUUACGGCUUCUACCCAUACGCAUUUUAUGGAUAUUAUGGCGGAUAUGCUCAUCUACUGAAGAAAUAAGCUUGCCAAGUCAAAGUGUUUGAACUGUCCUCCGCUAGCGCAUGAUCAUAUGCCGUUCAGGAUACCUGAAUGGAAUAAAUAAAUAAAACUCAGAAACAAUCAGAGUCAA